rnacentral:rRNA from 1 species
UUGUGCCUACGGGGCGCAGCAGUGGGGAAUAUUGCACAAUGGGGGAAACCCUGAUGCAGCGACGCCUCGUGAGUGAGGAAGUAUUUCGGUAUGUAAAGCUCUAUCAGCAGGGAAGAAGAAAGACGGUACCUGACUAAGAAGCCCCGGCUAACUACGUGCCAGCAGCCGCGGUAAUACGUAGGGGGCAAGCGUUAUCCGGAUUUACUGGGUGUAAAGGGAGCGUAGCCGGCUGUGCAAGUCUGACGUGAAAUCCCAGGGCUCAACCCUGGGACUGCUUUGGGAACUGUGGAGCUAG